rnacentral:rRNA from 1 species
GUCCAUGCCGUAAACGUUGGGAACUAGAUGUGGGACCAUUCCACGGUCUCCGUGUCGCAGCUAACGCAUUAAGUUCCCCGCCUGGGGAGUACGGCCGCAAGGCUAAAACUCAAAGGAAUUGACGGGGCCCGCACAAGCGGCGGAGCAUGCGGAUUAAUUCGAUGCAACGCGAAGAACCUUACCAAGGCUUGACAUAUACGAGAACGCUGCAGAAAUGUAGAACUCUUUGGACACUCGUAUACAGGUGGUGCAUGGUUGUCGU